GGCCCUGGAGGGGCACAGGAGUAUAUGGAGAGCUAUGGUAUCCAUCUUUCAAGACCAGAAGUUUUUGGAAAAAGCAUUGCCUUAUGCAUACUGAAGAAAUAAUUCUCCCUGCUAACACCCACACAGGUUUUCCUGGAACUCACUGUCUCCAAGCAGGCAACAGAUCCAGAAAGUUGAUAUAGUUACUAUUACCUGUCUGUCCAGGCCUGUUACCUCUCUCCAGACAAACUCUGAAGAUGGACAAAGGGCUGGCUGUCAUCCUGGCUGAGGUGCUCUACUCACUGCUUGGCUGUUUAGGCCUUUGCUGCUCUUGCAGACUUUGGCGCAGGACCUGUCAUUUCAUGGUGGAGCUGCUCAGACAGGCACUGGUCCAAGAUGAAGGCUGCUAAGCUCUACCAUGAUAAAAAUAAAUAAAUGAGACUCUGGG